CAAGUAAUCUUCUCUCUGCGUUC
rnacentral:snRNA from 1 species